GACCUGCCCACUGAUAAUAUAAUUUAAUGGCCGCGGUAUUAAUGACCGUGCAAAGGUAGCAUAAUCAUUAGUCUUUUAAUUGAAGGCUUGUAUGAAUGGUUGGACAAAAGGAAAACUGUCUUCUUAAUAUAAAUUGAAUUUAACUUUUAAGUGAAAAGGCUUAAAUAUUUCAGAGGGACGAUAAGACCCUAUAAAGCUUUAUAUAAAAUGAAUUUUAGAUUGAAAUUUUAUUAAAAGAUUAAGAUUUAUGUUUAUAUUAUGUUGGGGUAACAAAAGUAUAAUUAUUAGUAACUGUUUAGUUUAUAUACAGGUAUAUUUGUAUUAUUAAUUGAUCCUUAUUUAAAGAUUUUAAGAUUAAGUUACUUUAGGGAUAACAGCGUAAUUUUUUUAGAGAGUUCUUAUCGAAAAAAGAGUUUGCGACCUCGAUGUUGAAUUAAAAUUUCUAUAUAGUGCAGCUAUUAUAUAAGGAGGUCUGUUCGACCUUUAAUUUUUUACAUGAUUUGAGUUCAGACCGGCGUGAGCC
rnacentral:rRNA from 2 species